rnacentral:rRNA from 2 species
AAAACUUUUAAUAACAGAUCUCUUAAUUCUAGCAUUAAUAAAAAACAUAGCGAAAUACGAUAAGUAAUAUAAAUUACAGAAUUCAGUAAAUCAUCAAAUCUUUAAACGCAUAUUACGCCCACUAACAUUCUAGCGGGUAUGCCUAUUUAAGCGUUAUUU